rnacentral:tRNA from 1 species
GAGGGUACAGCUCAGUGGCAGAGCACAUGCUUAGCAUGCACGAGGCCCUGGGUUCAAUCCCCAGUACCUCCA